rnacentral:rRNA from 1 species
UACAGAGACUGCAAGCGUUAUUCGGAUUCACUGGGCGUAAAGGGGGCGCAGGUGGCCAAGUGUGUUAGGCGUGAAAGCCCGGGGCUUAACCCCGGAAUUGCACCUAAAACUACUUGGCUAGAGCAUUGGAGAGGGGAGCAGAAUUCAUGGUGUAGCAGUGAAAUGCGUAGAUAUCAUGAGGAAUACCAGAGGCGAAGGCGGCUCCCUGGACAAUUGCUGACACUCAGGCACGAAAGCGUGGGGAGCAAAAGGG